rnacentral:rRNA from 1 species
AUAUCAAUAAGCGGAGGAAAAGAAACUAACAAGGAUUCCCCUAGUAACUGCGAGUGAAGCGGGAAAAGCUCAAAUUUAAAAUCUGGUGGUCUUUGGCCAUCCGAGUUGUAAUUUAGAGAAGCGUCUUCCGCGCUGGACCGUGCAUAAGUCUCCUGGAAUGGAGCGUCAUAGAGGGUGAGAACCCCGUCAUUACUCGAGUGUCGCGGCCAGUGUGAUACGUUCUCGUCGAGUCGGGUUGUUUGGGAAUGCAGCCCAAAAUUGGUGGUAAAUCUCAUCUAAAGCUAAAUAUUGGCGAGAGACCGAUAGCGCACAAGUA